rnacentral:rRNA from 1 species
UACGUAGGUGGCAAGCGUUGUCCGGAUUUAUUGGGUUUAAAGGGUGCGUAGGCGGUUCUCUAAGUCAGUGGUGAAAUACGGCAGCUCAACUGUCGAGGUGCCAUUGAUACUGCAGAACUUGAGUACAGACGAGGUAGGCGGAAUUGACGGUGUAGCGGUGAAAUGCUUAGAUAUCGUCAAGAACACCGAUAGCGAAGGCAGCUUACUAGACUGUAACUGACGCUGAGGCACGAAAGUGUGGGGAUCAAACAGG